GCAAGACAAUAAGGCAAAACACUCUGCCAACACAGCAAAGGAUUUCAUCAGUGGAAGGGUGUGGAAGGUUUACCACUUGAUGAACAGUUCACCCGCCUACAAACCCGUCUCUUCAUGUAUGGUUAUUUGAUUGGUUGUACAGCCCAUCUAACUUGAAAGGGCGGUUUCCAGUGAACUAUAAAAGCUCGCCAAUACAGGCAACUUGUGAAACAAAAAGUACAAAAUGGGUAAGAAUGAAGAAAAAAGUUUAUCUUUCAAGGGCUCUGAUGGAUGGUUUUCUCAUCCCUUUCUUUUGUUGGCGGGUGCAGCGGUGCUUGUGGUGCUUGCUGUGCUGCUGAUUUGGAAGGAAGGGAAAAGCCUAAACCUCAAGAACUUAACAUCUCAGAUUAAAGACGUGUACAAUGUCUCCCUCUGCCUGCUACAACUUUUAUGGCAUUUAGGAUUUUUCACUGAUUGAUUUGGUGACUUUGACUUAGGCUAUUUAAAUUUUACUAUUAACCCUUAACUGUUAGUCUUGACAAUCAAACUUCUUGUUUAUUAGUUAGUUUUAGUUGAAAAUUUAGUUCAAUAAGUUAGCUAGAGUAGUUCAUUAGAUAUUCAUUUACUUGUUCUUCGGGCAGCACGGUGGCGCAGUGGGUAGCGCUGUCGCCUCACAGCAAGAAGGGCCUGGGCGACUGGGAUCCUUUCUGUGUGGAGUUUGCAGGUUCUCCCCGUGUCUGCGUGGGUUUUCUCCGGGCACUCCGGUUUCCUCCCACAGUCCAAAGACAUGCAGUCAGGCCAACUGGACAUGCUAAAUUGCCCCUAUUCAAUCAAAUUCCUAAUAAACUUCAUCUUUCCCCCCCUUAA